rfam:Oryza sativa (indica cultivar-group) chromosome 4, whole genome shotgun sequence.
AAUAAGUGCAGCCAUAAGUUUCCGCGUCCAAAUUUGAUCGUCCGUCUUAUUUGAAAUUUUUUUAUAAUUAGCAUUUUUAUUGUCAUGAGAUGAUAAAGCAUGAAUAAGACUUUACUUGUGACUUAUGUUUUUAAAUUUUUUCAAAAGUUUUUUAAAUAAGACGAACGGUUAAAAUUGGACGUAGAAAACCAUGGCUGUACUUAUU